CACGUAGGAGGCGAGCGUUGUCCGGAAUCAUUGGGCGUAAAGAGCGCGCAGGCGGCUUGGCAAGUCGGGUGUGAAAUCCCGGGGCUCAACCCCGUGACUGCAUCCGAUACUGUCAGGCUAGAGGUAGGUAGGGGAGAUCGGAAUUCCUGGUGUAGCGGUGAAAUGCGCAGAUAUCAGGAGGAACACCGGUGGCGAAGGCGGGUCUCUGGGCCGAUACUGACGCUGAGGAGCGAAAGCAUGGGUAGCGAACAGG
rnacentral:rRNA from 1 species